rnacentral:rRNA from 1 species
UACGAGGGGGGCAAGCGUUGUUCAGAAUUACUGGGCGUAAAGGGCUCGUAGGCGGCCAACUAAGUCACACGUGAAAUCCCUCGGCUCAACCGGGGAACUGCGUGUGAGACUGGAUGGCUUGAGUUUGGGAGAGGAAUGCGGAAUUCCAGGUGUAGCGGUGAAAUGCGUAGAUAUCUGGAGGAACACCGGUGGCGAAGGCGGCAUUCUGGACCAAUACUGACGCUGAGGAGCGAAAGCCAGGGGAGCAAACGGG